rnacentral:rRNA from 1 species
ACGCCCAACCGCUAGCCCAAAAAACAUUUAUAAAUUCUAAAUAUACUCAACAAUUAAUUAACCUAAAACCUCUCAACAAACCAUUUUUCCCCCUAAGUAACAGGCGAUAGAAAAG